GGUUUAUGGUUAGAACACACAUGAAAAAUUAUCAU
rnacentral:sRNA from 1 species